rnacentral:rRNA from 1 species
UAAGCAUAUAAGUAAGCGGAGGACAAGAAACUAAAUAGGAUUCCCCCAGUAAUGGCGAAUGAACAGGGAAGAGCUCAGCAUGGAAAUCGGGGCCUCCCGGCCUUGAAUUGUAGUCUUGAGAUGUACUGCCAACGGAGGCGCAGAUGUAAGCCUCUUGGAAAAGAGCAUCAACGAGGGUGAGAGUCCCGUUUGUCAUCUGCAGUCCCCCGUGCACGGUGUACAUUCUAAGAGUCACGUUCCUCGGGAUUGGAGCGCAAAGUGGGUGGUAAAUUUCAUCUAAAGCUAAAUAUUGGUUCGAGACCGAUAGCAAACAAGUACCAUGAGGGAAAGGUGAAAAGGACUUUGAAAAGAGAGUUAAAAGUGCCUGAAAUUGCUGAAAGGGAAGCGAAUGGAACCAGUGUUCUUGAUGAGAUUGUCGCGUACUCUGGUGAUUGCUGGGUGCUCCACCGCAAGGGGGGCAUUUGGUUUUGAGCUAGAUGUGCGUGGUGUUUCUUGUCUUGUGUGUCACCGUCGGUGCACGAGCGAGUAAACCUCCAGGGAGAUGGUAACUCGUCUGCGGAUGAGUGAAUGUCUUUGGUAGUACUCAUUUGUGUAUCGAUCCCUGCGUGUCUGGUUGCAGUGUUUGAGUCGUCUGGAAGCUUCUGAAAGGCUUGCCCUCGAUGAACUUUCUGGGCUCCUUGAGCAUCUCCCUGACACAAAGACGAUGACUAAAUGGUUCUAUUCGACCCGUCUUGA